UACGGGGGAGCAAGCGUUGUUCGGAUUUACUGGGCGUAAAGGGCGCGUAGGCGGUCAGCACAAGUCAGUUGUGAAAUCUCCGGGCUUAACUCGGAACGGUCAACUGAUACUGUGCGACUAGAGUGCGGAAGGGGCAACUGGAAUUCUCGGUGUAGCGGUGAAAUGCGUAGAUAUCGAGAGGAACACCUGCGGCGAAGGCGGGUUGCUGGGCCGACACUGACGCUGAUGCGCGAAAGCCAGGGGAGCGAACGGG
rnacentral:rRNA from 1 species